rnacentral:rRNA from 1 species
UACGAAGGGGGCUAGCGUUGCUCGGAAUCACUGGGCGUAAAGCGCGCGUAGGCGGACCUGCAAGUCGGGGGUGAAAGCCCGAGGCUCAACCUCGGAACUGCCUUCGAUACUGCGGGUCUCGAGUCCGGGAGAGGUGAGUGGAAUUCCUAGUGUAGAGGUGAAAUUCGUAGAUAUUAGGAAGAACACCAGUGGCGAAGGCGGCUCACUGGUCCGGUACUGACGCUGAGGUGCGAAAGCGUGGGGAGCAAACAGG